CUUGCCGCAGGGCGAAAAACUCGCAUUUUCCAUAAUUUUUCACACUUCCUUCGCCACCUUCCGCAGAAGGCUGUUUGUUGUUUUCAUUUUAAAGGGGCGGGGCACGGCCAUCGGCAGGUUACCAUCCUGACAGGUAGGCAACGAUGUCGAGCCGGUUGCCUACUUGCACGUUCCUCUUUCAGUUCUUUGCCGGUUGUCGACAAGUAGUGGCAUUGAUCACUUAUGUAGCGCGUUGUUUUUUACGGAAUUUCGUAGAAAUUUUGAAUGGGAUUUUCCAGUCUAGUGUCUUUGGUGAAGCUUAGGACUUCGGCAAACCGUCGCUUUGUGCUGUCAGACCUGGACCUGCACGACCGACAAAAAAGCAACUACGAUUGAGGGCGAACAGCUCCCUGAGGAUGAUGCUGAAACAGGGCACAACCACCGUCUGUCGCUCCUUCUUCGCCUUGGCGGCUGCGGCGGCCAUCGUCGUCUUGUAGAACUCGUCGUCCUUCGACAACCGACGCAGAUCGUCCAGCUCCACCGACUGCCCUUCCGACAGCUGCCCAACAAAAAGCUCGAGACUUCGAGAACCAUUCCUCAACGUCUGGAGCAUAUGAGAAGCAAUAUGUCGGCAGAGGUUGACCCUCCAAACGUCGCGUUCAAGCGCUGCAUCCACGCUGGCUUUUCAAAGACAUUUUAUUUGCGCACUGGGCCGUGGGUGGAUUUUUCUCCGAAGCGAAACCUACCAUAAUAGAACAGGCAUGACGUCUGGUUGAUCCAUUCAGCUAAAAAAAUGAGAUAAAAUAAAAUUGG